CGGGGGGGGGGGCCUUAACACAUGCAAGUCGAGCGGAAAGGCCCUUCGGGGUACUCGAGCGGCGAACGGGUGAGUAACACGUGAGCAACCUGCCCCAAGCUUUGGGAUAACCCUCGGAAACGGGGGCUAAUACCGAAUAUUACUGCUGGCCGCAUGGCUGGUGGUGGAAAGUUUUUCGGCUUGGGAUGGGCUCGCGGCCUAUCAGCUUGUUGGUGGGGUGAUGGCCUACCAAGGCGACGACGGGUAGCCGGCCUGAGAGGGCGACCGGCCACACUGGGACUGAGACACGGCCCAGACUCCUACGGGAGGCAGCAGUGGGGAAUAUUGCACAAUGGGCGGAAGCCUGAUGCAGCGACGCCGCGUGAGGGAUGACGGCCUUCGGGUUGUAAACCUCUUUCAGCAGGGACGAAGCGAGAGUGACGGUACCUGCAGAAGAAGCACCGGCCAACUACGUGCCAGCAGCCGCGGUAAGACGUAGGGUGCGAGCGUUGUCCGGAUUUAUUGGGCGUAAAGAGCUCGUAGGCGGCUUGUCGCGUCGACCGUGAAAACUUGGGGCUCAACCCCAAGCCUGCGGUCGAUACGGGCAGGCUAGAGUUCGGUAGGGGAGACUGGAAUUCCUGGUGUAGCGGUGAAAUGCGCAGAUAUCAGGAGGAACACCGGUGGCGAAGGCGGGUCUCUGGGCCGAUACUGACGCUGAGGAGCGAAAGCGUGGGGAGCGAACAGGAUUAGAUACCCUGGUAGUCCACGCUGUAAACGUUGGGCGCUAGGUGUGGGGGGCCUCUCCGGUUCCCUGUGCCGCAGCUAACGCAUUAAGCGCCCCGCCUGGGGAGUACGGCCGCAAGGCUAAAACUCAAAGGAAUUGACGGGGGCCCGCACAAGCGGCGGAGCAUGCGGAUUAAUUCGAUGCAACGCGAAGAACCUUACCUGGGUUUGACAUGGCCGCAAAACCUCCAGAGAUGGGGGGUCCUUCGGGGGCGGUCACAGGUGGUGCAUGGCUGUCGUCAGCUCGUGUCGUGAGAAGUUGGGUUAAGUCCCGCAACGAGCGCAACCCUCGUUCGAUGUUGCCAGCGCGUUAUGGCGGGGACUCAUCGAAGAAUGCCGGAGGUCAACUCGGAGGAAGGUGGGGAUGACGUCAAGUCAUCAUACCCCUUAUGUCCAGGGCUUCACGCAUGCUACAAUGGCCGGUACAAUGGGCUGCGAUACCGUGAGGUGGAGCGAAUCCCAAAAAACCGGUCUCAGUUCGGAUCGGGGUCUGCAACUCGACCCCGGAAGUCGGAGUCGCUAGUAAUCGCAGAUCAGCAACGCUGCGGUGAAAGCGUUCCCAGACCAAUUGAUACAACAACCCAGCCCCCCAGGGUUCCCC
rnacentral:rRNA from 1 species